AACGAACGCUGGCGGCAUGCCUAACACAUGCAAGUCGAACGAGACCUUCGGGUCUAGUGGCGCACGGGUGCGUAACGCGUGGGAACCUGCCCUUAGGUUCGGAAUAACUCCCCGAAAGGGGUGCUAAUACCGGAUAAUGUCUUCGGCCCAAAGAUUUAUCGCCUUUGGAUGGGCCCGCGUUGGAUUAGCUAGUUGGUAGGGUAAAAGCCUACCAAGGCGACGAUCCAUAGCUGGUCUGAGAGGAUGAUCAGCCACACUGGGACUGAGACACGGCCCAGACUCCUACGGGAGGCAGCAGUGGGGAAUAUUGGACAAUGGGCGAAAGCAUGAUCCAGCAAUGCCGCGUGAGUGAUGAAGGCCUUAGGGUUGUAAAGCUCUUUUACCCGGGAUGAUAAUGACAGUACCGGGAGAAUAAGCUCCGGCUAACUCCGUG
rnacentral:rRNA from 1 species